AGAGACAGUACUGGCUAGGGGUUGAUCAGGUGUGUGUAGAGACAGUACUGGCUAGGGGCUGAUCAGGUGUGUGUAGAGACAGUACUGUCUAGGGGCUGAUCAGGUGUGUUAAAAAGAGCAUCGUUACAGGAGGUGAGACACCCAGGGGUGAGCUGGGUAAUGAUGUUUUUCAACCACACGCAUCUCUCACACAGUCACACACUGGCCUUGAAAACAAGAUGGGAAUGAGAUUCUGUGUAGUGAAACAUGGAAUGUCAAUAAGAUAACAAAGAACAUACAGUAUGAUUACCUGAACAUAUCUGCACAAUAAAAGUGCAUUCAUUUCAAUUCA